AUUAAUAAUAUUAUUUCAUGUCGUAUUUUACAUUAAUUUUAUUAAUAAAUAAUAUUAUUAUAAGUCUUAAUUUGUUGGAUAAGACGUGUAUGGUUUUGACACUUGACAUAAUUGCAUAAACAAGAGAGGAGAAGCAGGAGCAGGAAAAGGGAGUGGGAGAGAUGAGUGGUGGAGGGAGUGAGGAGGGAGAGUCGUUAGAGUUCACACCCACAUGGGUUGUUGCUGCUGUGUGCACUGUGAUUGUUGCCAUUUCUCUUGCUGCAGAGAGAUUUCUCCAUUAUGGUGGCAAAUAUCUUAAGAGCAAGAACCAGAAACCCCUGUAUGAAGCUCUCCAAAAAAUUAAAGAAGAGUUGAUGCUUCUGGGUUUCAUAUCAUUGUUAUUGACAGUAUCUCAGGGCACAAUCUCUAAAUUCUGUGUACAUGAGCAUGUGCUUACUAAUAUGCUUCCUUGUGAUCUCUCUGAGAAAGGAGAAGAAGGACAAGGAUCUAAUACUACAGCUACAACCGAACAUUUUCAGAGGUUCUUUACAACUAGCAUUUCUGGCACUAACAGGCGCCUUCUGGCUGAAUCAACAGAAUCCCAGAUUGGUUACUGUGAGAAGAAGGGUAAGGUGCCACUGUUAUCCAUAGAAGCUUUACAUCAUCUACAUAUCUUUAUCUUCGUCCUAGCCAUUGUCCAUGUCACUUUCAGUGUGCUCACUAUUCUUUUUGGAGGGGCAAGGAUUCGUCAAUGGCAACACUGGGAGAAUUCAAUUGCAAAAGAUCGAUAUGAUACAGAUGAAGUUUUGAAAAAGAAGUUCACCAAUGUCCAUCAACACACAUUUAUCCAGGAGCAUUUUCUUGGAAUUGGUAAAGAUUUUGCUCUGUUGGGGUGGGUGCAUUCCUUUUUCAAGCAAUUUUAUGCAUCUGUGACAAAAUCAGAUUACAUAACUCUGCGACUAGGUUUCAUCAUGACACAUUGCAGAGGAAGUCCAAAGUUUAACUUUCACAGAUACAUGGUACGUGCCCUUGAAGAUGACUUUAAGACAGUUGUUGGUAUAAGUUGGUAUCUUUGGAUAUUUGUGGUUGUUUUCUUGCUGCUGAAUGUUGCUGGUAAGCUGCUACGUAAAUUAGUUUAUUGAUUACUACAGCAUCAUUUGCUCCUUGCUCCUUUUUUGGCCAAGCCAAAACCUUUUAUUUUAAAAUUGUUCAUAGUGCAGUACAUUUUCAGUCCCCCAACAAUGUCUUGUCUGUGCUAUUUUGCUCUGUGAAGAUCAUUAGUUAAUAAGGAUGCUUUAAAUCUAAUUUUGCUAUGUAGGUUGGCAUGCUUAUUUCUGGAUCGCAUUCAUCCCCUUCAUUGUAAGUUGAUCAAUUGUAUACUGCUGCUAUGGUAGAACAAGUCUACAUGGAAUUUAUUUAGUAAUAAGAUGAUGAUUUUCCUUUUUCCAGCUUCUACUAGCAGUGGGUACUAAGUUGGAGCAUAUAAUUAUCCAAUUAGCCCAUGAGGUUGCUGAGAAACAUGUAGCAGUUGAGGGGGACUUGGUUGUUCAACCUUCUGAUGAUCACUUCUGGUUCCACAGACCUCGGAUUGUUCUCAUUUUGAUCCACAUCAUCCUAUUCCAAAAUUCUUUUGAACUUGCAUUUUUCUUCUGGAUAUGGG
rnacentral:misc_RNA from 1 species